CCGCAAGGUUAAAACUCAAAUGAAUUUGNCGGGGGCCCCGCACAAAGCGGUGAAGCAAUGUGGUUUAAUUCGGACGCAACGCGAAGAACCUUACCUGGCCUUGACAUGCAGAGAACUUUCCAGAGAUGGAUUGGUGCCUUCGGAACUCUGACACAGGUGCUGCAUGGCCGUCGUCAGCUCGUGUCGUGAGAUGUUGGGUUAAGUCCCGUAACGAGCGCAACCCCUAUCCCUAGUUGCUAGCAGUUCGGCUGAGAACUCUAGGGAGACUGCCGGUGACAAACCGGAGGAAGGUGGGGAUGACGUCAGGUCAUCAUGGCCCUUACGGCCAGGGCUACACACGUGCUACAAUGGUGCGUACAGAGGGCUGCAAACCCGCGAGGGGGAGCUAAUCUCACAAAACGCAUCGUAGUCCGGAUCGGAGUCUGCAACUCGACUCCGUGAAGUCGGAAUCGCUAGUAAUCGCGAAUCAGAAUGUCGCGGUGAAUACGUUCCCGGGCCUUGUACACACCGCCCGUCACACCAUGGGAGUGGAUUGCACCAGAAGUGGUUAGUCUAACCUUCGGGAGGACGAUCACCACGGUGUGGUUCAUGACUGGGGUG
rnacentral:rRNA from 1 species